ensembl:lncRNA
AAACAUCUUUGUUUAAUGAUCUGCUUUCAUACUGGUAGAAAUGAACAAAUAGAACCAGACCUCUUUGUAAAAUGAUCAAGGAAACUAUUAAUUGUAGACUAUAGAAUAUUCCUCUCUACAUUUAAGCAUCCUAGUCAAAAUUUUGUAUUAAUAAUUCUACUGGAGUGUAGUGCUGCUUUUCUGGAGAACCUUCACAGCCUGGAGAAAGGGGUUUAAAAAGCCUCAUCACAUUCAGCAAAACCAAGUGCAAAAUCCUGCACUUCAUCAGGAAUAAUCUAAUAGCGGAUAAAAUGCAGCUUUGCAGAAAAUACCCUGACUGUCCUGGUAACUAGAAGUUGAACAUGAAAUAGCAAUGUGCACCUCCAACAAAAAAUGCCAGUAUUCUGGGCUGGAUUACCAAGGAUGCUGCCAGCAGGUAGGGUAAUGCAUUUUUUCCCCAAUUUUUUUGCACCUGUAAAAUCAAAUCUAGAGCACUAUGAACUUUCCAGUAAAAGAAGCAAAUUGACACAUCUAGUACAGGGCAAUAAAAUGAUUAGGGCUACAUGACAAGAGAAGAUAAGCUGAGAUAAGAGGCAUUAUUCAGUCUUAGGAGGACAAGUCCUUUCAGACAUUGAUCAGAAUACUUUUCUCCUGGUUGAAAGAUAUGGAGAAGAUGGAGAUGAAAACUCUUUUUUAGAUUCAAUAGUAUUAGGACAACAGAAAACAGAAAAAAAAUGCAUAUCAUGGAAAAUGUAGAGUACUAGUAAGGAAUUUUUUUCAUGUCUGUGAAUGUGAGAGUCAGAGGGAUUGGAAUCGCUUGGUAUUCAAAACACAUCUGGAUACCGUUUUUAGAAAUCUGCUGUUACUGAAUUGCUUUGAGUCAAAUGUUGGACUACAAGACUUCCAGAGGCACCUUUAAGCAUAAAUUCUUUUAAGAUUCUGUGAUAUUUUCCAGAGUGUGGUGCACUGAAAUCAGUAUCCAUUGAAGGAGACAAAAGAGGGUGGAUGAUUAUAUGGAAAGGGCAAUAAGAUAAAUGUUAUUAAAAAUAUUAGGGAAAAGUUGGAAGAGAUGUUUCCAAGAGGAUAAGAUAAAAAAGGCAAUGAGAAAUGUAGAUAGAAACAAUAAGACACUAAAAGUAUCUAGCUUCAAUAAUUCCGUUUUCAUUUGCACUUUAUCAAAUAAAUUUUCCAUGUAAUUUUAACAAACACUUUCUUAAAAUAUGGCUGAUAGGCUUCGUUUUCAUGUGCCUUUAAAUGACUUUUGGAAACUUAAAAUUAAAUAAAAUUCCUUGUGUAAUUUUAAAUAUGUCAAUUUUGUUCCUCUUCAGCCCUGAUUGAGUCUUACACAGCUUUUCUGAAUAUUCAUACUUACUUUAGGGGAAAGACAUAUGUUAAAAGAAAUAUUAUUCUGCAGACUCUAGACGCCUGGAAGGCUGUAUCAUUUGAAAAUCUGAGCAAGUUCACUGUUGUCAUCCAUGUUCUCCCUCUAAAUAAAGAUGUUAAUUGAUUUAAAUCAUGUCAAAAUCAUUUUCAGCUCAGGAGGUUGCUCAGUGCUGAUCUUGAUGAUAAAUGUAAUGUCAUGUGGAAUAGAUUUCACUGCAACUUAGACUAACUUUCUCCUCUAUGAAAGCAGAUUCUGGAGAAAUAUGACCUCUUGAUGUUGCAGCUUUGGAAAACAUUACAAGGUAGAACCAAUGACUCUUUCAAAUGGACUAUGAGAAAUCUUAUGUUCAGUAGAUUGGUUUCAUCAUGGACUUUCCUAUUCACUUUACUUGUAUUGUUUUAAUCAUUUCUAUGCCAAGAAUAUGGCUGUUUCAUUUUUCUUUUCAUGAAUUAAAAUUCAAUCAAACAAGUAACAGCUUUUCUAGGUUAAGCUACAAACUAAAGAAUUAUUCUAAAGAAAUAGAUAAUUCUAAGUUGACCCUGUCAGUUAACUUUAUUAUUCCCAUUAAAUAUGAAUAGUAUCCCGGGUCAUCCUGUUAAAAGUCUUGUCUUGUAAGAGAAGCUGGUUUUCCAAAAUAUUAUUUUGAAAGAAUUUCUAAAACUUUGCAUUAAAAAAUAUUCUGUUUUAUAGGUGCUUAUGCAAUAAACAGUUGCUCAUAAUCAUAAUUCCUCUGUAUUUGUCAUGACAUUAACCAUCCUAAAUUUCACCUCACACUUAAAAUACUGUUAAACUUUAUAUCAUCUCAGGUUUUCUUUUUCUUGUUUCUGUUUGUGUAUUUGCUUAUUCUUAAAAUAUUUAUUUUAUUUUUUGUCUUCAGAACAUGUAUUAUGUGUUCCUUUCCACAGCAAAAUAAAUGAACUGGACAAGAAGAACGUAUAUGAAAUCACCAAAGACAUUCUAUCCAAAAAUAAAUCAGAAUAUUUUAAGAAUAAAGUAAUGAAUCCAUUUCAUUAUUUCUCGCAAUGAGAACAGCAAUCUGAACAUUGAGAAGUUCAGAAUGUAAUGAAUCAUAGAAUUCCACAUAGAGAGCAGAAAAGCAAUUUUAAUAAAUAGGCAGAUCAUAUAAAAAUGAUUUGUAUCAAUAUCUAUCAGUCUGAACUCUGACAGUACUGCACCCACUGUUUCCCCCAAAGUAGGCAAUAAUGAAAAAGUGUCUCUUCCAUUUAUGCAUUAAUUUCAGGACUGAUUGCACCUAACCACACUGAAUCUGUCCACAUCCUUUUCAAGCAUGGCAACUAAUGAUCACAAUUCCUGUCAUGUAGAUCAGUGCUUCAACAUCUGGUUGGAAAUUGUCAACUCUGCAUACUGCAAAUCUAUGUUCUGUCAAUAAUACAAAUGGAUAAAUAGGCAGGUGCUAUUUCAGAACUCUUCUCAUACUGCUUUAAGCUGUGCUGAGCCAUUUUGUCAAAUAAAGUUCUAACGCAUGUUUGCUUGAGUUCAAAAAUAUUUGUUCAACUUUUCCUUUUAAUACACAUUAUCACAUUCAUUCAUUACCUUGUCUCUAUCUUGACUUGAUUAAAUUCAAAGUUUUUCUAAUAUAAUCUACCACACAUUUAACUGAGUAGACAUUUCGCAUCAAAAAAUACCUGUUCUGUCCAACUUUAUGUAUAUUAUCCCAAACUAAACCAUGAGGAAAACUUCAGAAUGUUUUUCUGUGCUAGCCUUUCAACAACGCAUACACAAGGCUAGUCUUAUGGAGUUCAUUCAGAACAAUUUUUUUUUUAAAAAAUGAUAUUCAUUUAUUUUGCUUCCUUCAUGAACGACUUUUUCUUAAUACCCAAACACGGGAGGAUAAAAAAAAAAAAAAAAAAAA